rnacentral:snRNA from 1 species
GUGCUCGCUUUGGCAGCACAUAUACUAAAAUUGGAACGAUAUAGAGAAGAUUAGCAUGACCCCUGCGCAAGGAUGACAUGCAAAUUCGUGAAGGGUUCCAUAUUUCU